AAUCCAUAGGUUAAUGAGGCGAACCGGGGGAACUGAAACAUCUAAGUACCCCGAGGAAAAGAAAUCAACCGAGAUUCCCCCAGUAGCGGCGAGCGAACGGGGAGGAGCCCAGAGCCUGAAUCAGCAUGUGUGUUAGUGGAAGCGUCUGGAAAGGCGCGCGAUACAGGGUGACAGCCCCGUACACAAAAGCGCAUGUGCUGUGAGCUCGAUGAGUAGGGCGGGACACGUGGUAUCCUGUCUGAAUAUGGGGGGACCAUCCUCCAAGGCUAAAUACUCCUGACUGACCGAUAGUGAACCAGUACCGUGAGGGAAAGGCGAAAAGAACCCCGGCGAGGGGAGUGAAAAAGAACCUGAAACCGUGUACGUACAAGCAGUGGGAGCACAGGUUUACCUGUGUGACUGCGUACCUUUUGUAUAAUGGGUCAGCGACUUAUAUUCUGUAGCAAGGUUAACCGAA
rnacentral:rRNA from 1 species